CUUGCUGCUUUCAAAACUCUUUAUCUUUGGUGCUCAUCAGCUUGAUUAUAAUGUGUCUCACUGUGGAUCUCUUUAGGUUUAUCCUUGGAGUUCAAUGUGCUUCUUGCAUGCAUAAAUUCAUGACUUUCAUCAAAUUUGGUUGUGCUCAGCUGUUGUUCUGACAGAGUCUUCCAUGAACACUAGGAGUUGAAAAGAAAAAGAAAAAAAAUGAAAGAAAACAGGAAAAAGAAGCAAAGAAAAGAUUGUGAGCUCCUGGGGACAGGGACCACAUGGGUCAUUUCAGAACCAGCUCCCGUACCACCUGCUGAUGUUGAUCCUGCUCCUGCACUAACACUGGAGCUCCAUAGUGCACCAACUAUUCCGUCACCAGCUCCAUCACCAGCAUCAGAUGGAUAGGUAGCUGGAGGCGUAGAGUUCAAUCGUAGCCACCUCCAGAAAUGGCUCCCACACCAUCUGCUGAUGUUGGUCUUGCUCCUGCUCAACACCAAAGCUCUACAGAGCACCAAGUCUUCCAUCUCCAGCUCUGCCUCGGUCACUACAGGUUGAGCCAUUUGCUACACCUCCUCUACAGCCACUCCUCGUUCAUGGGUAGGGAACGUCAGCUCCAGAACCACACCCUUUCUUCAAUUCACCGGAGUGGGAUUUUUUUUUGGUUUUGUGGUAGUAUUUUUCCAAAUCACUAUAUGCUAUUUUAACAGGUAGAUUUCUCAUAAAAUCAAAAUUGUUUUAAUAAUUUUAACAUGUGUAGUAUAGUGGCUUCAGGUACUUUUACAGUCUUAUUCAAUCAUCAUCAGUAUCUACUUCAGAACAUUUUCAUCACGACUGUGAUGGUUAAUGUUACAUGUCAGUUUGGUUAGGCCACGAUUCUCAGGGGUUUGGCAGAAAUUAUGUAAUCAGCCUCCAUUUUGUGAUCUGAUGUGAGCAGCCAAUCAGUUGGAAGAGGAGUUUCCUUGGAGGAGUGAACUGCAAAUUAACACAUCUCCUGGUACCUGGUAUCCAGCCAUUAAUCUGGCCAAUGCCUUUUUCUUCAUCCUCAUUUUGAAGAACAGGCCCCUCUCGGUGAAUCACAGCGCUGAUCUGUAGGAUUUUGGAGCAAAGCCCUGCCAUCCUCUGCAGAUAACUACUCUCCUUUUGAGAAACAGCUUUUGGCUUGAUACUGGGCCUUCGUAGAGACUGAACGCUUAACCAUGGGCCACCGACUCACCAUGUGGCCUGAGCUUCCCAUUAUGAACUGGAUGUUGUUUGACCCACAGAAUUAUAAAGUUGGACCUGCCCAGCAGCACUCCAUCAUUAAUUGAAGCAGUAUAUACAAGAUCGGGCCUGAGCAGGAUGUGAGGGUCCAAGUAAGUUGCAUGGGGAAAUGCCCCAAUGCCCAUGGUCUCCACUCAUGUCACAUACCUUUCAUCUCCCAGGCUGCACCUGUGGCCUCAUGGGGAGCUCUUUAUGAUCAGGUGACUGAAGAUGAGAAAACCCGUACCUUGUUUACAGAUGGCUCUAUGCAAUAUGCAGGCACCACUUGAAAAUGGAGAGCGGCAGCACUACAGCCCCUUGCUGGGACCUCCCUGAAGGACAGUGGUGAAGGGAAAUCCACCCAAUGGGCAGAAGUUCAAGUAGUGCACCUGGGUGUUCACUUUGCCUGGAAGAAGAAAUGGCCAGAAGUACGAUUGUAUGUAUACUGAUUCAUGGGCUGUGGCCAGUGGUUUAGCUGGAUUGUCAAGGACUUGUAAGGAACAUGAUCGGGAAGCUGGAGACAAGGGUUUAUGGGGAAGAAAUAUGUGAAUAUACCUCUUUGAAUGGGCCAAAGAAGUGAAGAUAUUUGUAUCUUAUGUGAAUGCUCACUAAAGAGUGACCUAAGCAGAUGAAGAUUUUAACAAUCAAGUGAAUAGGAUGACGUGUUCUUUGGAAACCGCUCAUCCUCCUUUCCCAGGUACUCCCAUCAUUACUCAUGAACAAAGUGGCCAUGAUAGCAGGGAUGGAGGUUAUGCCUGGGCCCAGCAACAUGGACUUCUACUCAUCAAGGCCGACUUGUUGACAACCACUGCUAAGUGCCCAGUAUGCCAGCAGUAGAAACCAAAAUUGAGUCCCUGAUAUGGCCCUACCCCUCAAAGUGAUCAUCCAGCAACCUGGUCGCAAGUUCAUGACGUUGGACCACUUCCAUCAUGGAAAGGGCAGCGUUUGGUUCUUACAGGAAUAAACACUUACUCUGAAUAUGGAUUUGCCUUCCCUGCAUGCAAUGCUUCUGCCAAAACUACCACCCAUGCACUUACAGAAUGCCUUAUCCACCAUCAUGGUAUCCUACAUGCAUUUCCUUGAAUCAAGGGACUCACUUCACAGCAAAUGAAAUGCAGCAGUGGGCCCAUGCUCAUGAAAUUCACUGGUUUUACCAUGUUCCCCAUCAUCCUGAAGCAGCUGGUUUGUUAGAAUGAUGGAAUGGACUCCUAAAGACACAAUUACGGUGCCAGCUAGGUGGCAAUGCCUUGCAAGGUUGGUGCAGUAUUCACCUAGAGGCUGUAUAUGCUCUAAACCAGUGUCCAAUAUAUGGUAUUGUAUCUCCCAUAGCCAGGAUUCAUGGGUCCAGGAAUGAAUGGGUGAGAAUAGGAGUGGCACUACUCACUAUUACCCCUAGUGACCUCCUUACAAGAUUUUUUGCUUCGUGUCCCCACAGCCUUAUGCUCUGCAGAUCUAGAGGUCUUAGUUCCAAAGGGAGAAGUGCUGCCACCUGGAGAUGCAUCACUGAUUCCAUUGAACUGGAAGCUAAGAAUGCUACCUUCCACUUUGGGCUCCUUAUGCCACUGGAUCAACAGGCAAAGAAGGGAGUUACUGUACUGGCUAGUGUGAUUGAUCCUGAUUAUCAGGAGGAAAUCGGAUUGAUAUUACAUAAUGGAGGUAAAGAAGAGUACAUCUGGAAUUCAGAAGAUCCCUUAGGGCAUCUCUUGGUACUACCAUGCCUUGUGAUUCAAGUCAAUGGAAUAGAGGCAGGGCCAAGAUGGCAGAGUAGUCAGAUGCUUCUCGUGGUCCCUCUUACAAAAAAGACCUGCAAAAACAAGCAAAUCGAUUACAUAUGGCAAUGUAGGAGCCCUGAACGUCAAAGACAAAGUCGAGGAAUUGGACCGAGUGGCAGAGGGAGGAAGAGACAGUUCAGAAGCAGUGAGAAGUUGCCAGGCCUGACCUGGCCAGCACUGGCACCCUGCAGGCUAGAUUGGCUGGCGCAUGUGGUGAGGAAAAUGGUGGUUUUGGGACCAGUUCUCCACCUUGGGAGAGACCAAUUGGUGGAGAAUCUGCUCAAGUCUCCAGAACCAGUGAGAAAUGCUGCUCAGUCAGCGAAAGAUAAGUACAAGCAUCUAACCUACCAUAUGGAUCGAAAUAGAAACAAAAACAAAACCCUUUUUAUCUGCGUUUUCCUUGCUCUGCUCUGGGUCCUGGUCAGGCUUUAGAAAGUGCUGUGCUCCCUGGGCAGGAAGUAGGACCCAUCAUGUGUCCUGAGCCAUUCUCCUCACUUUGGAGAGGGAACAAAUUAAUAAAUGGGGAAAAAAUAAUCUGCCAGUUCCUCUACUCUGGGAAUACAGGGCAGGCAGAGGCUCCCUGCCUAGGCACAGGCAUUAGGGGUCCAUGGACUUUGUAGGCCUUUCACCCCUGCUUAGACCUGUGUUAGCCCAUUUCAACAGCGUAGGCCCUCAUUAGCACAGUAUAAUAGGGUUUAUACCUGAAGCCUAUUUUCAUGUGUAUCUGCUAUAAGGUGGAGUGGUAGAUUUGUGACAGUUGACUCUGCCCUGCCUAUUUAGCAGGGUCCUCACCUACCCACAUCAGGGGCCUGCGGACUGGUAGCUCCACCCAUUCCACUGAGCGACCUGCAACAGGGGUCCAAGAAUAAGUGGUGACUCCCAGCCAUUACACCCAACAGCAUUGGGUGCCCAUAAUCUGGCUGCAAAAUCCACCUACCUAUGUGCUCUUGGGAGCAGGGACAUGCCUUCUAGAUAGACAUUCAGGGACAGCAGUCAGCCCCUAGCCUUGAUCAGUGCAUGACCCUCUACUGCAGCCAAAUACCUGUGCCUACUCCAAUCAUCCCUCCCAUCUAGGACUGUAAGUGAGAGCCUACACCUCACACUUGGUGACCAAUGACCUGGACACCUGAUCAGAAUCCUCACAAGAAAAGGAAAUGGACUCCUGGACUCACAUACCUAGUAAGAGUUCUAGCAGCCUGGAGACAGAAUGUGAGAGUUUCAAAGGCAUGAAUAACCAAAUUAGUUCACGCCACCACCCUAUUUGGGCAUAUAAAAACAAAACAAGAAGCAGGGACACAGUAAGCAAACAAUAAAUGAAUAAAUAAAAUAAAUUAUUGAUGGCUCAGAGGCAACAGUCAAUAUCAAAUCACAUAAAGAGGCAGAGACCAUGAUGGCUUCAUCGAGCCACCAAAACAAAGAGUCAAGAAACCUUCCUGAGGAAAAUAAUGUCUUGGACUUACCAGAGGUAGAAUUCAAAAGACUAAUAUACAGAACUCUUCAAGAGACCAGGAAGGAGAUCAGGCAAAACAGAGACCACACCAAGGAACACACAGACAAAACAAUAGAGGAACUUAACAGGUUUAUACAACAGCAUUAUGACAAAUUUAAAAGGCUGCAAGAAUCUGUAGAGAGACAGCAAACAGAAAUCGAAAAGAUUAACAAUAAAAUUUCAGAGUUAGACAACUCAGUAGAAUGUCAUAGGAACAGAAUUGAAGCAAUGGAAGUCAGAAUUGGUGAUACUGAAGAUGAAGCACUUGACACCAACUUAUUUGAGGAAAGUCAGAUAAAAGAAUUAAAAAAAAUGAAAAAACCCUAAGAAUUAUGUGGGACCCUAUCAAGAAGGAUAACCUGCAAGUGAUUGGAGUACCAGAACAGUGGGGGCAUAAGAAAAAAUGCAGAGAGAAUUGUUGAAGAUUUGUUGGCAGAAAACUUCCCUGAAACCGCAGCAGAUGAGAAGCUAUCUCUCCAAGUUGUUCAUUGAACCCCACACAAGGUAGAUCCCAAAAGAAAAUCACUGAGACAUAGUCAAACUUGCCAAAACCAAAGAUAAAGAGAGAAUAUUAAAAGUGGCUAUACAUUAAUGAAAAGUCAUUUACAAAGGAGAGUCAACAAAACUAUGCUCAGACUACUCAGCAGAAACCAUGCAGGUAAGAAGGCACUGGGAUGACAUAUAUAAAGCCUUGAAGGAAAAAUAUUGCCAGCCAAGAAGUAUAUAAUCAGCAAAACUGUCUCUGAAAUAUAAUGGCGAAAUUAGGGCAUUUCCAGAUAAACAGAAGUUUAGGGAAUUUGCAAAAACCAAACCAAAAUUGUGAGAAAUACUAAAGGGAGUCCUUCAGUUAGAAAGUCAAAAACAUCAGAUAACAACCCAAGACUCAAAUACAGAAGAGAUAUCACACAGAUAUCGACCCAGAUAGGGACGUCACAAAAAUAAAUCAAAGGUAAAACACUGAAAAUAGGGAAAAAGAGACAUCAAUAGUAAAAGAUGACAACAUUAAAACAAAAAAGAGGAACUAAAAAAUGUAGUCAGAAAUCUUCCAUAUGGAGAGGAUGUCAAGGCAAUAUAAAGAAAUAAACGAUUUGUUUCAACUUAGAAAAAUAGGGAUAGAUAUUAAGGUAACCACAAAGGAAACUAACAAUCCUACAUAUCAAAAAAAAAAAAAACCCACAAAGACUCAGCAAAUACAAAAUCAACAACAAUGAAAAAGAAAAUAACGUAAAGAAAAACAACACAGCAUAGAAAAUUAAGUGUAACAGAGAAACUCUCCACGGUACGCACACACACAGACACACACACA